GACGAACGCUGGCGGCGUGCUUAACACAUGCAAGUCGAGCGGAAAGGCCCUGCGUGGGUCUCGAGCUCCAAAGGCGAGCGGGAGAGUAAAAUAUGCGUAACCUGCCCUUGACUUUGGGAUAACUUCCGGGGACUAGGGCUAAUAACGGAAAGGCGCCCCAGCGGGACGGUGGGGGAAGGAAAGCUGUGGCGGUUGGGGAUGGGCCCGAGGCGUAUCAGCUUGUUGGUGGGGUCGUGGCUUACCAAGGCUUGGACGGGUAGCCGGCCUGCGAGGGUGACCGGCCACAUUGGGACUGAGAUACGGCCCAGACUCCUACGGGAGGCAGCAGUGGGGAAUAUUGCACAAUGGGCGGAAGCCUGAUGCAGCAACGCCGCGUGCGGGAUGACGGCCUUCGGGUUGUAAACCGCUUUCGCCUGGGACGAAGCGUGAGUGACGGUAACUGGUAAAGAAGCACCGGCUAACUACGUG
rnacentral:rRNA from 1 species